UCCCAUGUUGUCUAGUGGUUAGGAUGCCUGGUUCUCAACCAGGAGGCCGGGGUUCGAUUCCUCGCGUGGGCC